AACAGGGUAGGCCACUUAAUUAAAAAAGAGAUGUAGGUGAGCUGGGACACCUGGGCUCCCUGCACACAAGCCCCAAACCGUGCAGCCUUGCCGUGCCUGGCGUAAAGUGGGAAAACCUGUGAUUAAUAGCAGACAGCAGCAGACGUAGUAUGUGCUUGCUGUCUUAUUGCUUUCAUUUCUCAGGAAACUGGUCUCAAGCCUUUCUGCUGGAUCUUCUUUAAUCUGCAGGAGGUCUAUGCAGCUCUGAGGAACUUCAGUGCAUCGCUUCAUCAGGCCGUUAUGGCAACCUCAUCCUCCUCCUGUGAGCAUCCAUGGUGGUGUGGUCCUUGGCUGAUGGGGAAGGAGAGCGUGUCUAUGGGUCCAAGUCCACCAGGGGAGGUUGCGCAUGGAGAGACGGCAGGAUGUGAUCAUGCCCCAACCAGCUCUUCCCUCCCACAGCCUGGGCAGGAGGUUGGGAGCAGGACAGUGGAAAUGGGAAGUCUGCAGCAGCAACCAGGGCCUCCAGCGCUGCGUCUGCUGAGGCGGCACAGACCCCACCGACACAUCGCUCUCCUCCCCAGCCUGCAGACGGGUUGCUGCAGAAGUCAAGCCGGGUGCAUUUCAUCUGAGCUGGUUCAUGUGAGUCACUGUUUGGAAAACACAGCGGGGUAAGAGCCUCUCCAGAGAUGCUUCUGGAUGCUUCGCGGCAGCUAAGAAACCUCUAACCAUUUCCAAGAUCAGUUCUCCCAAUAAUAUUCAAAGAGCCUCUCAUUUACGUGCUUUAACCUUGUCUGUUUGAGAGCCAAGGUCACACAGGGAAAAGCUUGUGCAGCAUAACAGCACGAGAGGAUAAAGGCAGAAAAGACACGCAGGAUAACUCUGUCUUGGGCAGUUAUUAACAUUUCCAGCAAUAGACCUUCAAGUGCUCUUUUUAUACAUAGCAAUUAGUUAAACCUCGUAGUUAACUGACACGACUCCCAACUGCAUCAGACAACUAAGCCUUCAGGUGAGAGUGCAGCAGCCGUAAGCACAGCACACAUGCUUUUGCACAGAAAUACUCAGCUGUUUCUGUAAAUUUGAGUCCCCUUUCCUCCAUCAGCCUCCCAGCCGACCAAGAGUGUCAGUGCAGUGACACUGGGUAAGGAUUUAUUUCACGAAGACCAGGUAGCCAGCAGCCAAACCAGCUGAGCUCGGCAGCAUCGCGAUGGGGUUUUGACUCCGCGGCAGGGCUGGAGUUAUCGGUGGCUCUCCUCAAAACGUUUGUUCACGCACGAGCAAAAUAACUGAAAUCGUUCUGUUUGUUUUCCUUGCUAUUUGCUGCCAAUUAGGGAUUAAUAAAUAAUUGUCAUCUUAACGAGAGGGUGACCGGGUGC